GGUUAAGCGACUAAGCGUACACGGUGGAUGCCCUGGCAGUCAGAGGCGAUGAAGGACGUGCUAAUCUGCGAAAAGCGUCGGUAAGGUGAUAUGAACCGUUAUAACCGGCGAUGUCCGAAUGGGGAAACCCAGUGCAAUUCGUUGCACUAUCGUUAACUGAAUACAUAGGUUAACGAGGCGAACCGGGGGAACUGAAACAUCUAAGUACCCCGAGGAAAAGAAAUCAACCGAGAUUCCCCCAGUAGCGGCGAGCGAACGGGGAGCAGCCCAGAGUCUGAAUCAGCUUGUGUGUUAGUGGAACGGUCUGGAAAGUCCGACGGUACAGGGUGAUAGUCCCGUACACCAAAAUGCACAGGCUGUGAACUCGAAGAGUAGGGCGGGACACGUGGUAUCCUGUCUGAAUAUGGGGGGACCAUCCUCCAAGGCUAAAUACUCCUGACUGACCGAUAGUGAACCAGUACCGUGAGGGAAAGGCGAAAAGAACCCCGGCGAGGGGAGUGAAAAAGAACCUGAAACCGUGUACGUACAAGCAGUGGGAGCACCUUCGGGUGUGACUGCGUACCUUUUGUAUAAUGGGUCAGCGACUUAUAUUCUGUAGCAAGGUUAACCGUAUAGGGGAGCCGCAGGGAAACCGAGUCUUAACUGGGCGUUAAGUUGCAGGGUAUAGACCCGAAACCCGGUGAUCUAGCCAUGGGCAGGUUGAAGGUUGGGUAACACUAACUGGAGGACCGAACCGACUAAUGUUGAAAAAUUAGCGGAUGACUUGUGGCUGGGGGUGAAAGGCCAAUCAAACCGGG
rnacentral:rRNA from 1 species